rnacentral:rRNA from 1 species
CGGGGUGCAGCAGGCGCGAAAACUUUACAAUGCCGGCAACGGCGAUAAGGGAACCUCGAGUGCCAGGUUACAAAUCUGGCUGUCGUGAUGCCUAAAAAGCAUUGCAUAGCAAGGGCCGGGCAAGACCGGUGCCAGCCGCCGCGGUAACACCGGCGGCUCGAGUGGUAACCGUUAUUAUUGGGUCUAAAGGGUCUGUAGCCGGCCGGGUAAGUCUCUUGGGAAAUCUGGCAGCUUAACUGUCAGGCUUUCAGGAGAUACUGCCUGGCUCGAGGCCGGGAGAGGUGAGAGGUACUUCAGGGGUAGGGGUGAAAUCUUGUAAUCCUUGAAGGACCACCAGUGGCGAAGGCGUCUCACCAGAACGGACCUGACGGCAAGGGACGAAAGCUAGGGGCACGAACCGGAUUAGAUACCCGGGUAGUCCUAGCCGUAAACGAUACUCGCUAGGUGUCGGCCACGGUGCGACCGUGGUCGGUGCCGUAGGGAAGCCGUGAAGCGAGCCACCUGGGAAGUACGGCCGCAAGGCUGAAACUUAAAGGAAUUGGCGGGGGAGCACAAGGGCGAUUCGC